rnacentral:lncRNA from 1 species
AGAGCCCUCCAAUGGCUUCCAGCCCCAUCCAGCCCAGGAAGGGAGGAGCUGACUGGUUGGGCCUCAAGGACGAGGACUUGGACCUGUUCCCUGCCUCACCCACCAGAGAGGCCCAUCGGGAAAGCUCAGUGCCUGUCACGCCCUCAGUGCCUCCUCCUGCGAGCCAGCACUCCACGCCAGCUGGGCUGCCCCCCUCCAGGGCAAAGCCACCAACUGAAGGUGCAGGGUCCCCUGCCAAAGCCAGCCAGGCUUCCAAGCUGCGAGCCUCCAAGGAGGAGAAAGAGGACUGGCUGAGCCAUGCCCUGUCUCGGAAGAAGUCCCAAGGCUGGCUAGUAGGGGGAGGACUGGCUGGGGACUUGAGGAGCCCCUUUGCCCCUUCACCUGUCGCAGCCUCAGUCAGCAGUUGGGGAACAAGGCAGGGUGCCGUGGCCACAGAGGCCGCUUCUUGGCUUUGCUACUCUGCCUUUUAGGCACUGCAGAGAGAGCCUCUGGCUCCCAGGCUUGCCCCAGGGACAUACCCAAGAAGGAGGGCUGUUGACAUUCAUGCCCUGACCGCCGUGGGGACAGGUGCUAACUUGAUCGAGGAGAAGACAGAGGGUCCCUGAGGUGGCAGAC